AUACAGGGUGACAGCCCCGUACACAAAAAUGCACAUAUUGUGAGCUCGAUGAGUAGGGCGGGACACGUGGUAUCCUGUCUGAAUAUGGGGGGACCAUCCUCCAAGGCUAAAUACUCCUGACUGACCGAUAGUGAACCAGUACCGUGAGGGAAAGGCGAAAAGAACCCCGGCGAGGGGAGUGAAAAAGAACCUGAAACCGUGUACGUACAAGCAGUGGGAGCCUCUUUUAUGGGGUGACUGCGUACCUUUUGUAUAAUGGGUCAGCGACUUAUAUUCUGUAGCAAGGUUAACCGAAUAGGGGAGCCGAAGGGAAACCGAGUCUUAACUGGGCGUUAAGUUGCAGGGUAUAGACCCGAAACCCGGUGAUCUAGCCAUGGGCAGGUUGAAGGUUGGGUAACACUAACUGGAGGACCGAACCGACUAAUGUUGAAAAAUUAGCGGAUGACUUGUGGCUGGGGGUGAAAGGCCAAUCAAACCGGGAGAUAGCUGGUUCUCCCCGAAAGCUAUUUAGGUAGCGCCUCGUGAAUUCAUCUCCGGGGGUAGAGCACUGUUUCGGCAAGGGGGUCAUCCCGACUUACCAACCCGAUGCAAACUGCGAAUACCGGAGAAUGUUAUCACGGGAGACACACGGCGGGUGCUAACGUCCGUCGUGAAGAGGGAAACAACCCAGACCGCCAGCUAAGGUCCCAAAGUCAUGGUUAAGUGGGAAACGAUGUGGGAAGGCCCAGACAGCCAGGAUGUUGGCUUAGAAGCAGCCAUCAUUUAAAGAAAGCGUAAUAGCUCACUGGUCGAGUCGGCCUGCGCGGAAGAUGUAACGGGGCUAAACCAUGCACCGAAGCUGCGGCAGCGACACUAUGUGUUGUUGGGUAGGGGAGCGUUCUGUAAGCCUGUGAAGGUGUACUGUGAGGUAUGCUGGAGGUAUCAGAAGUGCGAAUGCUGACAUAAGUAACGAUAAAGCGGGUGAAAAGCCCGCUCGCCGGAAGACCAAGGGUUCCUGUCCAACGUUAAUCGGGGCAGGGUGAGUCGACCCCUAAGGCGAGGCCGAAAGGCGUAGUCGAUGGGAAACAGGUUAAUAUUCCUGUACUUGGUGUUACUGCGAAGGGGGGACGGAGAAGGCUAUGUUGGCCGGGCGACGGUUGUCCCGGUUUAAGCGUGUAGGCUGGUUUUCCAGGCAAAUCCGGAAAAUCAAGGCUGAGGCGUGAUGACGAGGCACUACGGUGCUGAAGCAACAAAUGCCCUGCUUCCAGGAAAAGCCUCUAAGCAUCAGGUAACAUCAAAUCGUACCCCAAACCGACACAGGUGGUCAGGUAGAGAAUACCAAGGCGCUUGAGAGAACUCGGGUGAAGGAACUAGGCAAAAUGGUGCCGUAACUUCGGGAGAAGGCACGCUGAUAUGUAGGUGAAGUCCCUCGCGGAUGGAGCUGAAAUCAGUCGAAGAUACCAGCUGGCUGCAACUGUUUAUUAAAAACACAGCACUGUGCAAACACGAAAGUGGACGUAUACGGUGUGACGCCUGCCCGGUGCCGGAAGGUUAAUUGAUGGGGUCAGCGCAAGCGAAGCUCUUGAUCGAAGCCCCGGUAAACGGCGGCCGUAACUAUAACGGUCCUAAGGUAGCGAAAUUCCUUGUCGGGUAAGUUCCGACCUGCACGAAUGGCGUAAUGAUGGCCAGGCUGUCUCCACCCGAGACUCAGUGAAAUUGAACUCGCUGUGAAGAUGCAGUGUACCCGCGGCAAGACGGAAAGACCCCGUGAACCUUUACUAUAGCUUGACACUGAACAUUGAGCCUUGAUGUGUAGGAUAGGUGGGAGGCUUUGAAGUGUGGACGCCAGUCUGCAUGGAGCCGACCUUGAAAUACCACCCUUUAAUGUUU
rnacentral:rRNA from 1 species